GGUGCCGGAAGUGAGCUGUACUGCGCUGCGCCCCGCCCCGCCCGCGCGCUGUGGCGUCACUUCCGGCCAAGUGGAGCCCGAGAAAAAUCUCCGGCCGAGGUUGGAAGAUGUGGUGGUCUGCAAGUUGAAGAGGAACUGCUGCACUAGCGAAGAUAAGGCUGUUGUAUACAAUCAUACUGAAAUACAGUGCUGAGCGAGGGUGCUUGUGGAGGCACAGCUUCGGCUUCUGCGUUCUGCUCUGGCUAUCUGAAGAGCGUUCAGAGAACACCAAGAUGGACCUGAAAGUUGCACUGGCCAGUCUUCUGAAUCUUCACGAAAUGCGAUUUUUUUCUGUUAAAGAAUCCCAAAGCCUGGACAGUGUGAUCCCUAUAGCAGCUCCAGUAAGAUUAUUUUUCCACUACCUUGCCAUAAUGUGCCUUAGUGUUUUUGCUUUUAGUCAUUCUACAAGUAGUAUCUCAUUACUUUAUAUUUAAAGUGUAUUUUUAAAAAAUAAGCAUUCUUAUGCUUGGCUUGGUGAUUGGUGAAUCUGGAGGAAUUGUGCUCAGCUUUCCUUUCUCUACUGGGGCGGCAGAGAUUUCACUAAGCGUCUUACAUCCAGGGGUCAUUGCAGUGUGAAGGUGUCGUUAAUCGUCAGUUUUACGUAGUUAAUAGUUAAUAUCUAGUAAUUGAUUUUCCUUUCUUACUCCUCUGCAGUUUCAGUAUUUUUAUGCAAUUCUGUUUUCCUCUGUAUACAAAGUGUAGUUGGAAAACUUGUGACACUAGUUCAUUUAAAGACAUUGAGGAAAAAAAACAGACCACAUUGAAAUGACUAGAAAAAUGACUGCCUGUUUAGGUUUUCAGCCACAUAUACGUAGUUUUCAUCAAUAGUUCCAUUAUAUACCAUUUAUCUCCCAAAUGUUGCAAUUAACGAAAAUUAAAAAGAAUAUAAAGUAAUGAGAUACUACUUGUAGAAUGACUAAAAGCAAAAACACUAAGGCACAUUAUGGCAAGGUAGUGGAAAAAUAAACUCAAUCUCUGAUGGGAAUGCGAAGUGGUAGAGCCAUUUUGGAAAACAGUUUGUCAGUUUUUUAAAAAAAAUAAGCAUUCUUAGUACAUGAUACAGUAAACUGGUUAUUUAUCCAAUGUGUUAAAUACUUAAGUCUACAUAAAAUCUUGUACACUAUAUUUGCAGCACCUUUUUUCAUAAUUUUCAAAACUUGAAAGCAAUCAAGAUGAAUUUCAGUAGGUGAAUAAACUGGUAUAUCCAUAUAAUGGCAUUGUAUUCAAUACUCACUAAGAAAAAGUGAGCUAUUAAAUCUUGGAUGUGAAGGCACCACUGUGUACCACCCUACUGGGAGACAUUGACAGUGGAGGAGACUGCAUGUGAAAGGGAGCAGAAUGUUUAGAAAUUCUGUACUUCGUGCUCUGUUUUACUGUGAUCCUAAGAAUCAGUGAAAGAACUAAAUAGGCCCUUGGGUUUGAAUGUGUACCAACAUUUUCUGGAGAUUUGUAGGUCGUGGGUAUUAAACUCUUUUAGUGUUUAUAGCAUCUGUUUGUAUCACUACAGUUAACCACAGAUGAAUCCCAUUUUAGACAAGAAUCAAAAAGAAUAGAGAGAAAUAUGUGGCAAAAACCUGUGUUCUGAAUAACUUGCUGUAGCUCAUAAAAUACACUUAGUGAAGAGUCUUUUCCUAUAGAAAAUAAAUACAGCCAAUUUCCAGGUUUUUUGGGGGUGUGUGUGUGUGUGUGUGUGUGUGUGUAUAUAUAUAUACUGGGGAUCAAACCCAGUGCCUCAUGCAUGCUAGGAAAAAGCUCCAUCACUGAGCCACAUCUCCAGCCCAUCCAGAGUCUUAACUAGAAGGUGGAUAUUGUGAUUUAGAUCUAACAUGUUCCCCAAAAGUCUCACAUUAAGAAGUGGAGCCUGGUGGUAGGCAAUGGAUCACUAAAGGUGUGACCUGAAAGGUGUUUUCUUGUCUUCCAAAUUUGUUUCCUACAUGCCUCUCAGUGUGCUGUGCUUGGAAGCAGCAGACUGAACCCUGGGAAACUGAGCCUAAGCUAAACUGCUCAUCUUUAAAUUGCAGGUGCCAGAUAUUUUGUCCCUAUGAUGGGAAUGUGAGUAAUACAAUGGACAUUGUUUAUUAAAACUGUAUGUUUUUAUCUUGUUAGUAGCUUUAUUGUCAGUUUGUGGUGCUUUCUGCAUUUUUUGGAGCUAUGACAUCUGUCAUUUUGUUUUUAAUAUUACAUAACUGGUGUUUAUGUUAGCAAAGUGGUGAGAUAGGGUAGCGUUGUUGCAUGCAUGUUAGAGUCAAACCUGAAUGUGAAUCUUGGCUCCAGUACUUAAUGGUGAGUAUGUUACCCCACUUCUCUAGACUUUAUUUACUUUUGAAAAAUAGGAAUGAUAGAUCUACUCUCCAGAAUCAUGUUAUAUGUGGUUCUGAAAUGUUCCUCAUAACACAUGUAUGUUGCAGAAUGGGACUAUGAAACAAGAUUUUAUCUCAAGAGCUCUGGAUGAAUUACUAUUCCAAUAACUCCACAGAUGGGUUCAGAGGAUUAUUAUGAAGUGAUAGAAGUAUAGGCUGAGGACGCUGCUGCCUUUUCCUUCUUUUCUUUGCCAAAGAGCCAUCUGCUACAGAAUCAGUCUCUACUGAAAACACUUCCAAUGUUGAACUAGUACUGUGUUUUCUCAGGAAUCUCUUCUGAAAAAAGCCCGUGCUGCCUUGCCUUGUUGACCAGUUGCUGAAGAGACACACGCUAUGAAAAGCCUCCGACCUAAUGUUACAAAUGGCUGUGGAUCAUAGUUAAUACUGUAUUAGAAAUCUGUCUCCUUCGGUGGGUAAACCUGAAAAGAACCUGAAACUUUUUCCUGCUAGGUUUUUCCUACCUAUAUCUUCACCAUAACAACUUUAAUUAUGCAAUAGGAAUUUCAAAAUUAGGUUGCUUAACCUGAUCCACUGUUGGCAGAAAUGUAAAUUGGUUUGGCCAUUAUGGAAAGCAGUGUGGGAAUUCUUCAAAUCAGUAAAAAUUAGAAUCACCCUAGGAUCCAGCAGUCCCACUAUGGCUACAGAUCCAAGGAAGUAAAUCAGCCUACCAAAGAGAUGUCUGCACUCCCACAUUCACUGCAGCACAUUUAUACUGGCCAGAAAUGGGAACUUUCUGGUAACUGUCAACUAAUGAAUAAAGAGAAUGUGGUACAUGUACAUAGUCCAAUAUUAUUCCACCAUAAAAAUUAAAUUCUGUCCUUUGCAUCAAUACAGAUAUAACUGAAGAUUAUUAUGGUAGGUGAAAUGAGCCAGGUGCAGAAAGACAAGGACCAUAUGAUUUCAGCCAUAUGCAGAAUCUAAAAAAGUUGAUCUCAUAAAAGUUGAGAGUAUGGUGAGAUUACCAGAGAACAGGAAGAGGAAGUGGAGAGAGAGGUAGGGAAAAGUUACUGUUGAAAGGAGAAGGAAGUUCUGAUGUGCUGUUGUACUGUAUGAUGGCCAUCCAAAAGCUAGAAGAAAGGAUCUUGAAAGUUCUGAUGGAAAAAUGACAAAGUUUGAGGAGAUUCAUGUUCAGCCUGACCUUCUCAUCCUGUGGUGCUUACAUGCAAUGAAACAGUACAUGGUGUCCAGCCUAUAUGUACAAUUUUUAAGUUUUUCAUGUAUUUGUCAAAGAAGACAGAAAAUUCAAUUCUUGUAGGGUAAGUGGUUUGCAACUGACUGGGGUAUUCAUACCAUUUCCAUAUCCUCUUAGGAUUAGAGUCCAAUAUUCUUAAAUCCUUUUAUUUUCAUAAAAUUUUGAAUAGAAAUCCAAGCAUAUAGUUCUAUUUCUUCCAAUUGUUUAAAAGGAGAAACUCAAUUCUAACAAAAUCUUAAAAGUUAUGAAUCACAUCCUCUAGGUUUGGAAGGAAAAUAUCUAUUUCCCUCUGUUUGGGAAGUAUGUUACACAGUGCUUUGGAGACUGCGGUGGCAUGUCCUUCCCUGACCUUGAUAUCUCUUCCUUCUGCCAUCUUUUUUUUUUUUUUUUGUCUUUUUCCUUUUUAUCGGUACCAGGGAUUAAACUCAUGACUGCCUGCUUGCAAGGCAGGAGCUAAAUCCCCAGCCCCUUCAUCUUGAUGUCUCUUCCUUCCGGUCUUAAUGACUCUUCCCCCAUCUUGGUGUGUCUUCCAUCUCCCAUCUUGAUGGCUCUUCCUUCCCACAUCUUGUUUGCUUUUCCUUUUCAUACUGUCAUGGCUCUUAACCCAUUAAUCCACUGAUGGGCUGGUUACAUGGUUUGCACAUCAUGGAUUAUGCUGCCGUAAACAUGAGAGUGCAGAAAUGCCUUUGACACAGUUUUCACUUCCCUGGACAUUUGUCAGUAUGGGGUUGCUGAAUCUAACGGCAGUUCUAUUUCUAGCAUUUUAAAAAAACUUUUACACUUCUCUAUAAUUUAUAUUCCCACAAACAGUAUAAAGGACUUAUGCUUUUUGUGUCUCCUUGCCAAUAAUUUGUAUUUUUUGUGUUUUUGACAGUAGCCACUGUAACCGGAUUGAAAUGGCAUCUCAUUGUGUUUGGUUUGUAUUUUUAUUUCUGUGAGUUUUAAUGAUGCAAACUUUCUAUAUAUCUGUUUCUACUUAGGCUACACUUUUGGUGGGGGGUGGUGACUGGGAAUUGAAUUCAGGAUUUUGUGCUUGCCAGGUGGCCAUUUGCCACUGAGUUAUAUCCACCUCAUAGACUGCACUUUUCAAAGGAAUUUUCCUCUCAGAAACCAUCAGUAGGACUGGGAAAAUAUUUUCACUGUAGGCAGCUUCAAGAGCAAUGUUUAUAAACUCGAGAGAACUAGAGAAGGAGGUCUAGAGAGCAUGGAAAACAUGAUGUGGCAAUUGUAGCACACCAGAUGACUGGAAGACAUGGAGGAAGCAGUUAACUGAGGAGCACUCCACAAGGUAGAAAAACCCAGUAAUCAUGAAACAGGAGUCUAAGCUGUUGUGAUUUGGAUGAAUUCACAAUUAUCAUGACAUUAUUCUAUAAUUAUAGGUCUAGAUGCACCUGAGAUCAUUUAGAUCCAGUACAUGGAUCAUGAAGCUAAGAAAGUUCAGUUGAACAAGAUGGAGUGCAGUGUGUAAGUCAAAGGGGAAGUUGCCUGAGGACAAUUAAAGGUCAAAAGAAGCAAAGAAGGGCUUAGCUUUCUUGUUAUAUGAAUUGGGGAAAAUAAAAAAUUAACCCAUUAAGCAGGUUUCAAGGCUAAAAGUAUCAUCGGGGAAAGACAGAUUUUGACUAUGUUAUUAUAACUGAAAGAACAUGUUCACAAAGUCUGAAGUGAGAAAAUUUUAUAAUCUAUCAGGAGUGCAGUAGAAUGAGCUUUUAAAAUGCUUGAGACCAGUAGAGAAUGAUGAAAGAGGAAGGCACAAGAUUGAGGCUCAGCACAUUGACCCAAAAGGACACAAGACUUUCUAAUAUCUUAGUGUGAGCAUCAGAGACAAGACUGAUAGUCAAAGAAAUUCACCAUAUUUAUUGGCAAAUGGCAAAUUAAUAGCUAGUCAUUGUUUUCUCAAAUAGUUAUUGAAGCAAGAACAAAUAUGGAGCAUAUGCUGCUUGGGAGAGAUGCCAGCACUUAGAUGAACUGUUGACAAGAACGAAAGGAUAUUAAAUUAGAAUCAAGAUCUUGCAGAAUGCAUUCAGAGAACACUAUGGAAACACUGCAUUUGCAAAUUACUCUUUACAAUAUGUGAAAAUGCAAAGAAUGAUCUGUGGGCAUGUCAUUACAUCAGUUUGGAAGAAGGAGAUGCAGUCCUUUCUCCCAGAACAUACUACGCUUCCAGCCUGUCCCUUGAGGAGAGGUGAUAUAGAAAGUGGAAGUGGAACGUGUAAAAACAAAGACAGUUAUAUUGAAUAAGAAGAACCCUUUCCUUACUUGACAUCUCUCAUUCCCAGCCUCUCCCCACCAUUUCUGGAGAACUGGAUUUAAGUGACCUAAACCCAAAGUGAUUAAAGACCUCUCUCUGCCUACUUUGAACAUCACAGCAAGAAUGGAACCAGAAACUAGAUUUAAAGUCAGCUUUGAAGACAGAAGCUCUUGUAAGGUCUGAGAUCAUGGACUGGACAAUUUUAAAUGACCCAAAAUAACAUAGUAGAAUUGUCUCCUGCAGGGAGAGAUCUUUAUAAAACUAGCCUGAAAAUUUCCA